rnacentral:misc_RNA from 1 species
AAGCAAUCAAAUCCCAUAUCUAAAUAGACAUUAAUAUGCAUUGAAGCGUGCUUUACACAUAAAAUGGAUCGCCAUUCACCAAUGCCCAUGAACAUCCUAGACAGAAACCAAUACAAUCACCAAAGGAACCGACACAAACCCCUAUACAUAACCACUAACCACACGAGUAGAGAUCACCAUGACUAAAUGGCAACCUGCUUCGUUGUGGCAUUAGAAUUAAAUUAUGGUCAUGGUGAUUCAAGAAACCCAGUUUUGGUCAACACAGCAUUUCUAACUUUACUAAGAUCCCUACCUUUGAGGGUCCUGCCAACUCCUUCAAAAACAGAAAAUGAGGAAAUCUGGCUCCUUGCUAGCCUUGUGGCAAUGAGCUCAUGUGGGGGCAAUUUAUAAUGGUAAUCACUAUCUUCUUCAAAUUCAUCAUCAUUAUCUUCAUUCAUAACCCCAUGACAAUCAUCACCAUCUGAUUCUUGAUCAUCAUCAUCAUCAUCCAAUGAACUAGGAUUCUUGGAAGCUUUCUUUGACUUCUUUUUGUAAAAUUUUGACCAGCCAGGAAUGUUGACAGGUGCUGAUUGCUGCACUACUUUGGUUCCAUGAGAGGAAUUGUUGCUGCUGCUGCCACUUCUUGUAGCUCUUGGGAUCAUUCUCGCAGCAGAAGGGAGGUUUCUUGGAACAGAAAAUGAGGAUUCUAUUGAUUUGCCAUACUUGGAACCUGAAUCUUUUCUUUCUCUUAGAACAUCCCAAACCUCCUCUUCUUCGAAGUCUCCAUCUCUUAGGGAUCUCCACAAACCGCUGCCCUGCCUUAUUAAAUUAUACCUAUUAUCCAUUUGAUGAUUGCUUUUUCUUGGAUUGAGAACCUCCUAAAUUUACAACUCUCCUUAGAUUCUUUGUGGAUACCUGGAAAAGCUUGAGAGAAUUGCAGGGAUGGAUGGCUAUUUAAAGAGCUCAAAUAUCCACAUAAAGAAGAGAGAGGGGGUUUGAGAAAGCCACAAGAAUAUGACAAACCUUAUUUUUGUCUUUAGAAGCCCUCCCAGUUUCUGAAAGCCUGACUUUUUAACGGCGAAAAUUGCAAAAUAGAAGUAUAAUAAGAUUUGUUUUGGCGUUUUUACUGACUUUCCUUUAAAAAAAGACUCGUCUUCCCAGGAUCUUUCACGGUAUGAAUCAGAUAUGACACACUUCCUGCUCUUUUAUUUGUACAUAUCCUGAGCCUCAUAAAACCACAUUUAUGUAUCUAUCACCCCCAAAACAAACAAGCCCUGCAUCCAUAGCUUGUGGGAAUUGGGAGGUAAAAAAAAAGAACACUGGACAAGAAACCGAGGACUAAUUCGUUGACUGACUGAUUGAUUGAUCGAUGAUGAUGCGGAUGAUGAUGAUGAUGCUUUUUGCCUUUAUGUUAUUCCCACUUAGAAAUGAGAAUGGAAGUUUUGA